UGGAGAGAUGGUUUAGCGGUUUAAAAACUGGUUGCCCUUGUAGAGGAGCCACGUGAUGACUCAUAACCACCUGUAACUCCAGUUCCAGAGACUCCAACGCCUCUGUGGGCACCAGGCACACACACAGCACACAAGCAAAACGCCCAUAUGCAUACAAAACUAAAAUAUGUUUUAAAAGCCUUGACACGACUAAAAAACAUUCCACUAUUAAUUAUUUUUUCUUGCAUUACAUUAAACAAAUGAGGUAUAACCCUGCCAACUACUCUUAAUGCCUAUAAACAACUAUGCUCUUUUUCUAAUCUUGAUUAGAUGGAGACAUAUCGAUUUAAGAUUUCAUCCAGCAGCCUUACCCACUCCAGUCUGAAAUGCUAAUGAGCCUUUCUGCCUCCUCCCCAGGGGCUCUCUCGGGCCUGAGAUAUAAUGUUCAAAGACAUUUAUUCUAUAUUCUUAAAAGAUAUCUAUCUGGAGCCCGUAUCACCACCCAGCAACAGGACACCUUUGAUCACAUCUCUAAAUUCGGAGUUGGCAAGUAGAUUGGAUUCUUGGAAAUUGACUCCUUUGCUGAAGUCUGUUGACACCAUUAUCAGCUUCGCAUCCGUCCCUCAGGAGAGUGUAAGAUAUGCUUUCCUUUUUUCUCAACAUAACACUAGGAAAUCAGCUGAACUUAUAAUCCUCUGAUUGUUUCUUCCUCCUCAGUUCAUUUAAAUCAGUUUCCUCUUAAAAACUAUCAUCAUCGUCGUCAUCAUCAUCAUCAUCAUCAUGGUCAUCUGUGUGUGUGUGCGUGCGCACACGCGUGCGUGCCUGCAUAGGCAUACGGAGGUCAAAGGACAACUUCUGGGAAUCACUUUUUGCCUUCCGCCUUGUUGAGUCAGACUGUCUUCUUUUCACUAUGCGGCACGCUUCAGGCUAGCUUCAGAGAGUCUAUCUCCCCUGUCUUCCAUGCCAUGGGUGUGCUGGGAUUCCAGACACAUCAGGACAGCAGCAGGCUUUUUACGCUCAUUACAGAGGUUGAACUCAGGUGGCCAGGCUUGCUUGGCAAGUGGUUUUCCUCACGGAGUCCUCUUGCCAGUGCACUUUUCUCUUUUGGCAGUGAAACCUUGACUUUCAAAAUUUCAUUCAGAUGCACUCUGAACAUUGUUACUAAACACUGUGACUACUCUGGUAUAUUUUCAGCUGUAAAUAUCUAUCUGGGCUUUUUUCCACUAAAGGAAUUAGUGAAAAAGAAGGCAAGGCUCAAACAUUUUAAGAUUUUAAGAGAUGUUUUGCCAGAUUUUCUGAGUAUGAAAAGUCGCCUAAUGGGUUCUACAGAGAAAGGAUGUCUGAUAUUCCAUUUGGUUCAAUAGUUUGCUUAACUUCUCACUUGCUGUUGGGUAGCUAACCAUCCACUCCCACCUUACAGAGCUGCUGAAAGGAUUAAAUGAUAGAAAGUAAUCAGGAAGCUGGCACUGGGCCCCUUGUUAUCUUUCUGUUUUGUCUAUACAGGUAAUAAAAGUCCAGUUCCCCAGGAAACUCCGCCUUAACAGCCUCCUGCCCCAUCCAGGGAUCGAUCUCUCUAGCAGCAUUCCCCAAGGCCAUGCCUUUCUUAAGGUGUAGUGAACCCUGCGUAGAUGGGAAAGUGAGGGCAAGGUCUUAUGUGCAGUUGUUCAAUAAAUGGUCAUCAGAAUCAUUAGAGAGUAAGUAAUAAAAACUCUGUAUUCUCCCCUUUCUAUUCCCUUAGAGCGGUGAUUCUCAACCUUCCUACGACUGUGACUGGCCCUUUAAUACCGUUCCUCACCAUUUCCUUAGGUCAGGGGUUCUCAACCUUCCUAAGGCUGUGACUGGCCCUUUAAUACCAUUCCUUGUGUUGUAGUGACCCCAACCAUAAAAUUAUUUUCUUUGCUAUACUAUAACUGUAAUUAUGCUACUGUUAUGAAUCAUAAUGUAAAUAUCUGUGUUUUCUGAUGGCCUCAGGGAAUCCCUAUGAAAAGGUUGUUUGACCCCCAAAGGGGUUGUGACCCACAGGUUGAGAGCUGUGACCUUUUCAGGCAGGGGGAUGGAAUGGACAAAGGCUCUGAGAUAUCAAGCCUGAUUUCAUACUCUGAUUUUGCCUGUUCCUAGCUUGGUGCCUGUGGCUGUGUGAUGCUCUGAGCCUCAUUUGCCUCAUUGACUAGAAGGGGAUGACAAUGCCUCUUCCAAUGCUGUAUUGGAAGGACCCCAGGAGGCAAAUCAUGACGACCAUUUAUCCUUAGAUAAGUGGCCAAGCAAGCUGUUUUCCAAAAGUAGAGUUUCUGUUCAUUUGAGAUAAUGACUGAAGGGAAAAUGAAAGUUUAGGUUUGAAAGGACUCUCAGUGUAAUUCCUUUUGUCUUGUUUUUACAUUUUACUUAUUUGAUUAUGUGUGUGGUAGGAGGUUCACGCCACAGCAGGCUUCUGUAAGUCAGAAGACACUGUAGAGUUAUUUCUCCCUGCCGUGUGGGUUUUGAGGAUUGAACUCAGGUCAUCAGGCUUGGUGGCAGGUGCCUUUGCACACUGAGCCAUCUCACCGGCUCUCCAUUUUCUUUUUUUCUUAAUGAGAAGUUUGAGGCUGAGAGAACUCAUGUGACCUCCCCUAGAGCACACAGUAAUUCUGUUAGAAGUAAAGACGAAACCUGGACCGCCUGGUUGUAGCACUGUCACAGAGACGCUAGAACCCCAAAAUCAGCCUCUUAGGAGAGAAGAAUGCCUUCAUGGUGUAGUUCACGUGAUGUCACUAUCCAGGAAAAAUAAGUCAGCUGGGAAAAAUUACCUGUGCCUUAAUGCAUCCGGUGAUCUGGACAGAAGAUAGAGUGAUCAGUGUGUUACCUUCCCUCUCUGGCCAGGCCACGGGGAGGGACUUCCCAAUAAUGGGUGGAGGGAGGACCUCGAGGGCAUGGGAGGUCUCCUCCCCUUCACAGUACCAGGUCCUGGUGGAACCUAGGGGGUGAGUAGGAACCCUGGGAGGUGAUAAAGGAGCUCAGAUAGUAGACAGGUAUUGUCUAAGGACAAGCUUUUCAACAACACACCACCCCAUUCCUUGGAAUGCAGACUGAGCUCCGCUCUCAGAACUUUGACCUCAAUUACUAAUAAUGACAGAAACUAAAAUCUUAUUAGAUGUCUGGCGUGAGUAAGGUCUUUGAUUUUUGAGAGGCUAAAGUGAGAGUUAAGGGCACGGUCUGCCUAAGUCUGUUGGACUCAAAUCACUUACAUCCUGGGUGAUUCUGAGAACAUUUAAGACCUUCAGUAUUUCAGUUCUAUAGCUCAAACAGAGAAUAAUAAUAAAUAAAUAAAUAAAUAAAUAAAUAAAUAAAUAAAUAAAUAAAUAAUAAUAACUUUUGUAGCUCAUUCUGAGGACCAAGUGAGCACUGGACACAUAGCAAGAAGUGUGGACAUGGUUUGUUACAAUAUUAUUAUCUCCCUAGGGCUUUUCCUCAUUCAUCUUAUUUAAAGAAGCCCUCCCUUCCAGUCACUCACUGUUAUUUUAUUGUCUUCAAAGCCUUUAUGAGUGGAAAUCUCCUACUUCUAAAUUGCUCUUUGUUUCCACUUGCAUGUAAAUGCCCUGGGAGUUGAGCUGAGUCUGAGACAUAGCAGGGCCAGCACCUACUUAUUAAAUUGGAUUAUUUCAUUGGAACUUGCUAAGUCCUAAGGAGAAAAUACUCCCUUCACCGCCAUCUGUGGAGGAGCAAGCUUAGGCACCAAAUAUUCUAUUUACUCACAGUCACCUACUGGAUUCAAACCCAAUUGGACUCAAGAGCUGUCUACUAUAGGCACCAAGCUGGACUGAAUACCCUCCCUCGAAAGCUGGUACCCAGAUCCGGGAAGGAUGUUACAUCUUGUCAACUUUCUUUUCUUUCAGUUGGACUUAAAGGUUGUGGAAAGAGUCAAUAGUUGAGCCCAUCUUCCUUCUAUAUAGGGCUCAGUCCCAAGACUUCCUGUCUUCAUCCACUGCCUUCCUACCUGGCCCCAAAGACUUUCUUUUUAUCUCUUUUUUAGGAUCACUCUCCUUCCUAUUUUUGCUUGUGAGCCUAGCCUUUUACGGUUGAGUCAUCUCUCCAGCCCAUGCUUCCUAUUUUUGUAAGUCAGAGUUUGGUUCCAGAGAUUCAGACCAACAUUGGUGAUCCAGAACAGAGAAAGACUGCUUGCCCCAAAUGAUGUGACGGACUUUGAUGAUCCCCGAUGGGAGGCCUCACCCUCCUUGGGGAAUGGAUUAGGGGGGUGGA